rnacentral:rRNA from 1 species
AUUGAACGCUGGCGGCAUGCUUUACACAUGCAAGUCGAACGGCAGCGCGGGCUUCGGCCUGGCGGCGAGUGGCGAACGGGUGAGUAAUACAUCGGAACGUGCCCAGUAGUGGGGGAUAGCUCGGCGAAAGCCGGAUUAAUACCGCAUACGACCUGAGGGUGAAAGCGGGGGAUCUUCGGACCUCGCGCUAUUGGAGCGGCCGAUGGCAGAUUAGCUAGUUGGUGGGGUAAAGGCCUACCAAGGCGACGAUCUGUAGCUGGUCUGAGAGGACGACCAGCCACACUGGGACUGAGACACGGCCCAGACUCCUACGGGAGGCAGCAGAGGGGAAUUUUGGACAAUGGGCGAAAGCCUGAUCCAGCAAUGCCGCGUGUGUGAUGAAGGCCUUCGGGUUAUAAAGCACUUUUGGCGGGAACGAAAAGGACUGUGCCAAUACCACGGUUCGAUGACGGUACCCGCAGAAUAAGCACCGGCUAACUACGUG